UACGUAGGGUGCGAGCGUUGUCCGGAAUUAUUGGGCGUAAAGAGCUUGUAGGCGGUUUGUCGCGUCUGCCGUGAAAAUCCUGGGCUCAACCCCGGACUUGCGGUGGGUACGGGCAGACUAGAGUGUGGUAGGGGAGACUGGAAUUCCUGGUGUAGCGGUGAAAUGCGCAGAUAUCAGGAGGAACACCGAUGGCGAAGGCAGGUCUCUGGGCCACUACUGACGCUGAGAAGCGAAAGCGUGGGGAGCGAACAGG
rnacentral:rRNA from 1 species